rnacentral:rRNA from 1 species
AUGGAAUGCUUGACUGCGAGUUUCGCCGCGAGGAAUGCGGGUAGGGAUUAUAACUUCGUAUGUCCGAGUAAGCCCGCGGGCGAGAAGCAAUGGAUUCAAGGAAGGGUUCUCUGCUAUUUUACAGCUUACACAAACUCUAGCCGAUGCUGCAAGGUUGCCACUGGGGUGUACCCCAUCAGCCCAGUUGUUGGCAGACGUUCACGCUGGAGAUCUUUCGCAGCAAGUUUGAAUUUAGAGAAUGGGCCUGCACCAUCGAGUUCGACAUCGUCUUCAUCAGGGCAGACUAGUGAGCAGCUUACCUCAGACCAGUUGAAAUCUCUUUUGGCUGAUAAAGAACGAAGUAAGCUUUUGAGAAAGCUAAGUGAAGCAAACCAGCUGAACCGGUUUCUCAAGAGACAGUCGCAAAUAAAGGAUGAUGCAAUUGUAAAGUUCAGAAGUGAACUUGCUGUUUUGGAACUUGAACUGCAGGCUUUGGUUGGCCUAGCUGAAGAGAUUGCUAAUUUUGAUGUUCCAUCAGGGUCAAGGAAGGUAAAUGGAAAAUAUAUUCAGUCUCAUCUUCUCUCCAGAUUAGAAGCUGUCCAUGACAAGGUUAUGGCACAGAUAAAGGACAUCGAGUCUUUAAGACCUCGAGAAAUCACUGUCCAUUGGGUUGGCAUGGCUGAGAACGUGCAAAUUAUGGGCUCCUUCGAUGGCUGGUCACAUGGUGAGGCAAUGUCGAGAGAAUAUUCAGGGGAUUAUGCGAGAUUCUCUGCGACUCUGAGGCUUAGACCUGGGAGCUACGAAAUCAAGUUCUUGGUGGACGGGGAGUGGAAACUGUCAUCGGAAUACCCGAUUACCGGCGAGGGAUUGACACAGAACAAUAAACUCGUCGUGCAAUAG